rnacentral:ncRNA from 1 species
GCGCCCUAUCUGCUUUCGGGUGCUCGGCCGGCAUUCUGUCCGCGUCCGGGUUAAACGGGAAGCCGGUGCGUUCCCCUCCCUCCCCCGGAAACAGGGGGAGGGGAACAAGGCCGGCACUGCCCCGCAACGGUAAGCGAGUCAAAUCCCAUCACGGCGCCACUGCAAGGGCUUGCUCUUGCGGGAAGGCGAUGGGUCGAUGCCUCCGGUGUCGCUCGCAAGUCCGGAGACCGGCCCGUGGCAGUGGUGCUGAC